rnacentral:rRNA from 1 species
AACAAACGCUGGCGGCGUGCCUAACACAUGCAAGUCGAACGAGAAAGUCCGCUUCGGCGGAUGAGUAAAGUGGCGCACGGGUGAGUAACGCGUGGAUAAUCUGCCCUUUAGUUAGGAAUAACCCAUCGAAAGAUGGAUUAAUACCAAAUAAUGCUGAUCUGUAACGGCAUAUCAGUUAAAGGUGGCCUCCGUUUACAAGCUAUCGCUAAAGGAUGAGUCCGCGUACCAUUAGCUUGUUGGUAGGGUAAAGGCCUACCAAGGCGAUGAUGGUUAGUUGGUCUGAGAGGAUGAUCAACCACACUGGAACUGAGACACGGUCCAGACUCCUACGGGAGGCAGCAGUGAGGAAUCUUGCGCAAUGGGGGAAACCCUGACGCAGCGACGCCGCGUGAGUGAGGAAGGCCUUCGGGUCGUAAAGCUCUGUCAGGUGGGAAGAAAUGUUUGGUGGCUAAUACCUGCCAUACUGACGGUACCAC